GAUGAAGAACGUAGCGAAAUGCGAUAAGUAAUGUGAAUUGCAGAAUUCAGUGAAUCAUCGAAUCUUUGAACGCACAUUGCGCCCGUCAGUAUUCUGGCGGGCAUGCCUGUUCGAGCGUCAUUACGCCCCUCAAGUCCCCUGUGGACUUGGUGUUGGGGAUCGGCGAGGCUGGUUUUCCAGCACAGCCGUCCCUUAAAUUAAUUGGCGGGCUCGCCGUGGCCCUCCUCUGCGCAGUAGUAAAACACUCGCAACAGAAGCCCGGCGCGGUCCACUGCCGUAAAACCCCCCAACUUUUUAUAGUUGACCUCGAAUCAGGUAGGACUACCCGCUGAACUUAAGCAUAUCAAUAAGCGGAGGA
rnacentral:misc_RNA from 1 species